rnacentral:rRNA from 1 species
AACGAACGCUGGCGGUGCGUCUUAAGCAUGCAAGUCGAACGGUAAGAAGAGAGCUUGCUCUUUUCCUAGAGUGGCGGACUGGUGAGUAACGCGUGGAUGAUCUACCUUUAAGAUGGGGAUAGCUUCUAGAAAUAGGAGAUAAUACCGAAUAACCUUAUCGUGUUAUGACGUGAUAAGAAAAUGGAGCGUUAGCUCCGCUUGAAGAUGAGUCUGCGUCCCAUUAGCUAGUUGGUAGGGUAAAGGCUUACCAAGGCGAUGAUGGGUAUCCGGCCUGAGAGGGUGAACGGACACAUUGGGACUGAGACACGGCCCAAACUCCUACGGGAGGCAGCAGCUGAGAAUCUUCCGCAAUGGACGAAAGUCUGACGGAGCGACACCGCGUGAACGAUGAAGGCCGGAAGGUUGUAAAUUCUUUUGCAGACAAAGAAUAAGGAUAGAAGGAAAUGACUAUCUGAUGACGGUAGUUAUGCGAAUAAGCCCCGGCUA